UUAAGUUCAGCGGGUAUCCCUACCCGAUCCGAGGUCAACCUGUGAUUGAGGUUUAACGGCGCGUCCGGUCAUCCUCGCCAGCGAAUUGAUGAAACCACAACGCUGAGAUUCAAACCGUCCAGCCGAUCACUUCGAGGCGCGGCAGACUGCCGUCGCCCAAUACCAAGCCAGGCUUGAGGGGUGUAAUGACGCUCGAACGG
rnacentral:misc_RNA from 1 species